rnacentral:rRNA from 1 species
AUACNAUUACACCGAGAAGCGNGGUCAUCUANAUAUCUUUUAUUUUAUAUCACUUUACCUUCUGCAUAUCCGUGGUAAUUCUAAACCUAAUACAUGCUCAAAACCCCGACCUCGGAAGGGGUGUAUUUAUUNGAUUAAAAGCCAACGCCCUUCAGGGCGCCCUGGCGAUUCAACCCAACUUCUCNAAUAUCAUGGACUUGCACCACCGAUGGGUCAUUUUCNUUUCCUCCCUAUCAAUUUUCUGUGCCACGACCAUGUCCCCGGUGGUUCAUAAUAACUUGAUCGGAANUUACGGUGGCUUAUAUUUGUUAUUAUAAUCUUCGGAAUUUAAUAGCAAAUAUAAGUCGGCGACGAUUCAUUCGAAUUUCUGCCCCAUCAACUCUCGAUGGUAGGAUAGAGGCCUACCAUGGUCGCAACGGGUAANGGGGANUGGGNUGCGGCAAGUCUUCUAUGCAUGUGUUAGCGAGCGAAUUGCACUGUUAUUGUUGGAUGUAGUUUACGUUNAGUNAUUNAUGGCUGAUUCGNUGAGCCNUGCGCGGGANUACANGNGAUGGNUNGGACUUNCAUGCAUGGUUCNUUGAGACGCAUAUGACUACA